GACGAACGCUGGCGGCGUGCUUAACACAUGCAAGUCGUACGGUAAGGCCCUUUCGGGGGUACACGAGUGGCGAACGGGUGAGUAACACGUGAGUAACCUGCCCACAACUUUGGGAUAACGCUAGGAAACUGGUGCUAAUACUGGAUAUGUGCUCCUGCUGCAUGGUGGGGGUUGGAAAGCUCCGGCGGUUGUGGAUGGACUCGCGGCCUAUCAGCUUGUUGGUGGGGUAGUGGCCUACCAAGGCGGCGACGGGUAGCCGGCCUGAGAGGGUGACCGGCCACAUUGGGACUGAGAUACGGCCCAGACGCCUACGGGAGGCAGCAGGGGGGAAUAUUGCACAAUGGGCGCAAGCCGGAUGCAGCAACGCCGCGGGCGGGAUGACGGCCUUCGGGUUGUAAACCGCUUUCAGCAGGGACGAAGCUUUUUGUGACGGUACCUGCAGAAGAAGCACCGGCUAACUACGUG
rnacentral:rRNA from 1 species